rnacentral:rRNA from 1 species
UACGUAGGGUGCAAGCGUUAAUCGGAAUUACUGGGCGUAAAGCGUGCGCAGGCGGUUAUGUAAGACAGAUGUGAAAUCCCCGGGCUCAACCUGGGAACUGCAUUGUGACUGCAUAGCUAGAGUACGGGUAGAGGGGGAUGGAAUUCCGCGUGUAGCAGUGAAAUGCGUAGAUAUGCGGAGGAACACCGAUGGCGAAGGCAGGUCUCUGGGCUGACACUGACGCUCAUGC